ensembl:lncRNA
CUGGCUUGUGGGCCUGGUGCAAGUCUCCCCGCUCUCUGUCCUGGCUGUGAUUUAUGAUUCUCCUCCCUGCAAGAUGGUCCCCCCUCAUCUUCCCCAAAAUAUGGUUUUUUGAGACAAGGUCUCACUACGCAGCCCAGGCUGGCUCGAACUUGCAGUGAUGCUCCUGCCUCGGCCUCCCAGGUGCUGUGAUGACAGGUGUGCGACACUACGCCCUGCUGAGAACCACCUUCUUCACAGCCUUGCCCAGCAGCAGCUGUGCAGUGACCGCCUCUGGCCCUGCCCCCACUCACAUUUCACGGUGAUCUGAGCCACUGCCUCAAUGACACCCAGGCUGGACAUGGCCACGCACGUGUAGUUGGCUGAGUCCUUGACAUCCGUGAGCUCCAGCACGUUGCGGCCCACGGGCAUGUCGUCCUCGGGGCUUGCUUGCUUCUAAGGAUGUGGGGCGGGAAGAGAGCUGGUUGGCCACGAGUAUGAGGCAUCUGUGCCCCUCAGGACUAUGGAGCUCAGGCCCUGGGCGUCCUCCCAGCUGGGAAGCCUGGACGGCCGACACUGUGUUCUGCCCGGUUUGGUGCUGGUACCCGCCCACGUCAUCUUUCCACCCCUGGCUGCAAGCUUGAGGUGCAGGUUAGAAAAUAAGAACUCCGCAGCUCUGAUGCGUGGGGAACUCCGAAAGUGACCGUGCUGCGCUGCUGGACAGCAGACACCUGUGACUGGGCCCAGAGCCUGAGCGAGGGAAAGGGGGAGCAGCUAACGCCGCCUGGGAGGUGGAGGCACAGUGCUCCGGGCUUCACAGCCGGCCAAGUAUUUCUUCCAAAGUCUGUCCCGCCGCACAUGCGGGUGGGCAGCCCCGGACCUGUGCCCAGCCGGGAUGCACGAAGCCACCACACCAGCUGGCAUUUGGAACGCGAUGUGCCAAGCACACAGAGUCUCAGGAGGACGGAGUUGUUACUGCUCUCUCCCGACUUCUCCAUUUGCCACUAUCCUUACUGGACAUGUUGCAGACUGAAUGAGGACCCUGACUCUUGGGGGCUCCUCAGCUUUACUUAGCAAACCUGGUUUUUGGUUUGUUUUGCUGACUUGGGUGGUGGGACAGCCUCACACUGAGGCUAAGAGGAGGAGAAAACACCUGCUUAUGUUCCCUCCCGCACUGCUGCCCAGGAGAGAAUAAAGGAAAAGGGGGGCUGCCUAGGAGGUCAGGCAAAUUGGGGUGCUCUCCCCACAUACCCCACCCAGGCUCUGACCUCCCACCGCCCACCUGUCAUGAUGCCCCACACGGUCACUUUCUGGCCCAGCAUCCCAGCUGUGGGAAGCCCUUUCUGCCCUCCCAUGAGAGUCGGGACAGGAACACUGGCUUUUACAUCACAAUGCGUUUGGAGAACAACCACAGAACAGCUCAGCCCAAGAAACCAAAACCAAAACAGCACAGAAACAAAACAGAACCAAAGACAAUCGCUUUGGGGGAGAAGGGAGAGGGGGACCGGGUGAAGAGGGAGGGAAGGGGGAAAAAAAACGAACCAAUCCCCCCCCCAUCAAAAGAAACAAAACUUGAAAGAAAGAAAGAAAAAAAAGGGGAAAAAACAAAAGAGAAAAACAGAACAGGAGACAAGAAACACUCCAACAGAAGACUUUGGGGAUUCACCAAACCAAACCGACAAAGAGUGGCAUGCAGAGAAAUUUGUACAUUCUCCCAGCAUGCAUCAGGCCCAAGUUACCAUGGCGACGAGUGCAAAAAACUUAGCAACAACAUUACCAACAGAUGCAGAGCAACCAUAAUGCAAGCAUCGCAUGUGUGCGGCCGGCCCUGGGCCGGGCUGGGCGCGGCUGAGAUUUUUGUGUCUUUCUAGGUUUUGCUCUCGCUUGGUGGUUUUUAUUUAUUUUGUUUGCUUUGUGCUUAUCAUUCAUAUUACAUUUUUCAGUUCAUUUUUCUGUUUUUUCCGUGUGCGUGUCUGCGGGUGUCUGUGUGGUGUCUAUGUGUGCUUUGUGUCUGUGCGUGUCAUCGUUGCAGAAUGUAAAAAUGUGGGUAAAGAAAGUAAAAAAGAAAAAAACACACCAACCUUCUCGAAGCUCUGAGGGAUGUAAAGGGGGUUUGAUGCGCAACACAAUGACAUGGGGAGAAGAGAAAAAAUAGGGGAAAUACAGAGAGUAAAAAGAGGACUUCCCAAGGCUAAAAGCUGCAAUAGUUUUUUUUUUCUUUAAACCAAAAAAAAAACUUAAAAUUAAAAAAGAAAAAGAACAGUAAUGACUUUUUUUCUCCUCUUUCCUCUUCUUUUUGCUCUCGACAUACAAGAUUUACAUUUGCCUUUCUCAAUUCUCUUUCUAAAUUCAACUUCGCAGCAUCUGUCAGACCCAGGCAAAGACAGGGUGCCGGACCUGUCCCCAGAAGGGAGGAGGCUCGGGCUGGGGACACGGAAGGACCCCUGCCUUUUCGAGCCCUGGCUAAAUGCCCACCCCCUCCCUGCCCCACACCUCCAUCCCCUCUCCUUUCUCUCUCUCUCUCUCUCUCUCUCUCUCUCUCUCUCUCUCUCUCUCUCUCUCCUCAGGCCCUGUUUAACUCACAAACCCCCAUCCCAGGAGGCAGCAGAGAAACAAGGUUAGAUGAAGACCAGUCAGUUGGAGUCACGGACGCAUUACAACUCACCGGAGUGCCGCAGGUGGACCGGACGUGCCCCCCGCCCACCCUCACGCCCACGCCCACAUCCC